GUUUUUCUUUCUGUUCCUAUUCAAAACUGCUACAUUGUCUGCAAAUGGCUCUAAGAAACCACUAGCAACUACUGAUGGGAACGGACCAACAAAACUGCCAUUUUUUUUAUUUAUUCGUAUCCCCUUUAUUAUUUUUACAGAUAAUUCAAGGCAACAAAUAUACUUAAUACUCCUUCUUCCUCUUAUUUUUCCCACAACAGCAUCACCAUGAAGUGAGUUGGGUUGAAAGAGAGUGACUGGCCCAAGGUCACCCAGAUGGCUUUUAUGGCUAAGGCAGGAUUUCAACGCACCAUCACCUGGUGCCUUAACCACUACACCAAAAGGAAGCCAGCUCCUCAUUGAAUCAGUCCCAGAAAUCAACCUCCAGAUGACACCUGUCUUCUGUCAAAGGAUACAGCUUGUGUUGAGGGCCAUACACCAGAAAUGUAGAGACCAGACUCAAAUAAACAAAUAAGCAAUAGUUUGUGCUUAAAAUCUCCUGAAACCAAGAGGAGGAGAGCUUAAGGGCCCAGUGACAAUAGCUCGCAGAAAUGAGUUGUGUUCUGCUUUGAAGAACAUGGCUGGCUGCUAUCACCCAAUUAGCAGUCACUGGCCAGUGACAUCUUGUCCAGUUUCUCUCUCCUACUGUGUUGGGGUGCCGGCUUGAAGCAAAAGAAACUCUAAAAGGGCAUCACACUGUCUGGUUUGGUGCACUCACAAAACUUUCCAGCAAGCUGAUAUCUGCUUUGGGAGCCACUUUGGUGAAGAACUGAGCAAUAAAUCUAAGGAAUAUAACA
rnacentral:lncRNA from 1 species